AUUAAACUAACGGAGUGUUCUUAAGCUUGAAAAUAUCAUAGAAUUUUGGAUUUAUGCUCUGUGAAUUUCUUUUAGAAAAAACAAUUUGGAGUAAUCGUUGAAUGUGGAUUAAAAACCAUAUCUUUUCGAUGUUACUAUUGAAAAUUUCGGGAAUGUAUCUUCAUCUUUUGUUUGUGUCUAUUUUCCUAGUUUGCAAGUAAGUUAGGUUGUUGAAUAAACAAUAGAAUUGGCAAAGAAAAUGAAAGCUUGAAGAAACAGAAAUUGUUUGUUUAAAGGUUUUUAGAUUUUGAAAGGCAAAGUUUGAAGAACAGUAGUUGAGCUAUAAUCUAGAAUUUGGGGUUUAAGAUGCAAAGUGGUGAGAGUAGUUAAAUUAAUCAUGAAGAAAAUUUUGGAAAUUGGGGACAUGCUUGAGGCUUCUCAGGACCUGUCUUUGGCUUUCGUGGAACGAAAUUUUAAGGGAUUAUAUUUUUUAUUUUUUGGGUUAUAAGUAAUGGCCAAUAAGAUUUCCAGUUCCCAGUUAUCUGAUAAUGAAAUUUUUGCACGUGUCUAGCCUUUGAAAUAUUUGAAUCUGAAUUGCACGUAAGGAGGUUUCUUAAAGUCUAAAGUUAAGUAAAUAAACGUAACAUCUCUUAAGAGAUUAAGCUUUCAGUCAUUAUUGUUAAACAAAUGCCUCUUGACUUUUUCAACUUUUCUGUGAAAUCUAUUAUCUGAUUAUUCAUGUAGUUGAAUAUCUAUUAUUUAUUUAUUUUAGGCAGAAUGCUUAAUGUACUGGUGGAACCAGUUGU
rnacentral:lncRNA from 1 species